rnacentral:rRNA from 1 species
ACAGAGGUCCCAAGCGUUGUUCGGAUUCACUGGGCGUAAAGGGUGCGCAGGUGGGUUUGCAAGUUCGAUGUGAAAGCCCCGGGCUUAACCCGGGAAUGGCAUUGGAUACUGCAGAUCUGGAGGAUCGGAGGGGGGACUGGAAUUCUUGGUGUAGCAGUGAAAUGCGUAGAUAUCAAGAGGAACACCAGUGGCGAAGGCGAGUCCCUGGACGAUACCUGACACUGAGGCACGAAAGCUAGGGGAGCAAACAGGA